rnacentral:rRNA from 1 species
UACCAGCUCUCCGAGUGGUGUGGAUGUUUAUUGGGCCUAAAGCAUCCGUAGCUGGCUGGGCAAGUCCCCUGUUAAAUCCACCGAUUUAAUCGUUGGAGUGCGGGGGAUACUGUUCGGCUAGGGGACGGGAGAGGCAGACGGUAUUUUCGGGGUAGGGGUGAAAUCCUAUAAUCCCGGGAAGACCACCAGUGGCGAAGGCUGUCUGCUAGAACGCGCCCGACGGUGAGGGAUGAAAGCUGGGGGAGCGAACCGGAUUAGAUACCCGGGUAGUCCCAGCUGUAAACGAUGCAGGCUAGGUGUUUGGGCGGCCACGUGCCGCUCUAGUGCCGCAGGGAAGCCGUUAAGCCUGCCGCCUGGGGAGUACGGCCGCAAGACCGAAACUUAAAGGAAUUGGCGGGGGAGCACCACAAGGGGUGAAGCUUGCGGUUU